UGGGGAAUAUUGCACAAUGGGCGCAAGCCUGAUGCAGCGACGCCGCGUGAGGGAUGGAGGCCUUCGGGUUGUAAACCUCUUUUGUUUGGGAGCAAGCCUUCGGGUGAGUGUACCUUUCGAAUAAGCGCCGGCUAACUACGUGCCAGCAGCCGCGGUAAUACGUAGGGCGCAAGCGUUAUCCGGAUUUAUUGGGCGUAAAGGGCUCGUAGGCGGCUCGUCGCGUCCGGUGUGAAAGUCCAUCGCUUAACGGUGGAUCUGCGCCGGGUACGGGCGGGCUGGAGUGCGGUAGGGGAGACUGGAAUUCCCGGUGUAACGGUGGAAUGUGUAGAUAUCGGGAAGAACACCGAUGGCGAAGGCAGGUCUCUGGGCCGUCACUGACGCUGAGGAGCGAAAGCGUGGG
rnacentral:rRNA from 1 species